rnacentral:sRNA from 1 species
AACUAACCCUGAUUGUAGUGCAAAUCCUGUCAUUGCGACUCCAGAAAUUGUUUAUGAGAUUAGCUUACGCUCAGUUCGCUUCGCUCGUGUGUCUUCGUUCCUCGCAAUGACAGAUUGAAACGGAAAGCAGGAAAAUGG